UUUGAUUUAUCUAAUCCUGUAUUAUUCAUUUUACAUCUCAAUUCUCAAGGUCUGCUAGAAAAUCAAUUCUGAUAUUCAAUCAUCCGUUACAAAUUAGAGGCGCAAUAGAUCUGCAAUACUUCUCAAAUUUCUCUCCAUCCCUCUGCAAAUUUCAUGCUCAAUCACCGUUACAAAACUUAGAUUAGCAAUUGAUCUGCAAAUAUUCUCAAAUCCCUCUCCAUCCGUCUGCAAUCACCGUUCUCAAAUCUCAUCUUCCGAUCAUUCUUGAAUCUCUCCAUCCAUCUGCAAAUCGUUCUCAAAUCCCAUCUCCCGCCGUCUACAAAUCCUUAUCACAACAAUUGAUAUGCUAAUCUCUAUAUACCGGGUCUCCCACCGCUGAUACAUCAAAAUUGGCAGGAUUUGGUGCUCCAUCUCCCCGCCUGAUUCCGAACUAUUUUUUUGAGGUAAACCCUAAUCAGGUGGAUCUACUCCGAUUGAGGAUUUUUAAGCGACGACGAUGGCAACUUCUAGAAGCGCAUUAGCAGCAGUUCGGCUGAGUAGAUCGGCAGCAUCAGCCUUUCGGGCAUCCGGCGCUGGUCACACUCCAUCCGCCGCCCUCCAAUCGACCCGCCCCCGAUCUCGCUGCUCCUAUCGCGCUCCCGUGCCCUAAUGUCCCCCGGUGGCAGCAACAUAUCUUUUGUCACUCUUUUCUCUGCGUCAUGCCUCAAUCGCGUAGCAUCCUGCCCUACUCUAACUCUUCUUCGCAGGUUAAAGUUGCCUUGAUUGACAUGAUGCUGGAAGCACUGGUCUUAACUUAACGUCAGCAGAAUUGAAAGUCAAAGUGUGUCUUAAUCUUCAUGGUAUUGUGUCUGUUGAAUUAGCAACGGUAAGCUCUCAGCUCUAUUGAUGAAUUUUAUUUCUUAUGCUUACUGCUGCGUAGUGGGGUUUUUUAGCAAAUUACUCGAAGACCAAGCUUAUUAAAAGUCUUCUCAUUUUUGGUGCUUUUAUUACCAAUUUAUUCGCUAUUUUUAAAAGUGAGAUGUAUCAUGUAUAUAACUGCAGUAUAACAGUCAGCUGAGGCAACAAACAUAUUAGUCGCUAUCCAUAAUCAAGCUCAGACACAGAAAACUAAGACAUUCCAUAACCAGAGUUAGAGAUAAUGCAUUCAUCCUUGAAAUAAUUUAAUGAGGCUGAGAAAUUUUCGGGACCUUUCUGCAAUUUGAGUUUCGUCAAAAACUAACAUAUAUAAGAUAGUAGAAAAGAUUAAUAACAGGUAUAUCAGAUUUUUCAUCCAAUGGAGAUGGUUUGGCCAAUAAACUGUAGGUUGUAUAAGAUAAUAACUAGAUCUUAAUUAUCACCAUAAAAGAUAGAUAUUAAGAAAAUGCCAAAUUGCUAAAAUGUUAGUUCUAUUGGUAAAAAAGAAAGUUGUCUCUGGGUGCUAGAACUUAUUUAUGUGUUUAUGGAAUUGCACUAUCGUAGCGUAAUUUGAUGAUUGUAUCAGAGUUUUAUGCAUGUAUCUAUUCUUAAGGAAAAUUCUUAUUGGUAUAUAUUUUCUCGAGCAAGACUGUAAACAUACAUGUUAUAUUUGAAUUUUAAUUUUUUAUCUACGUAUUUGUGCUUCUGCUGCUGUGUGGUGGCACUGGCUUUCUUCGUGUGGAUUAUUUCAAUUUUUUUUUUCUGUUUUGAAUUUUGGAAUUGCUGUGAGGAUUUUAUAAUAUUGCUUUCAGAUGAUGGUGAAAGGCUAUUUGUUAUUGCUAAGUAUGAUGGUGAUCCAUAUUCUGAUUGAUGAUGAGAUCCCACACACGGGAAUCGGCCUAAUAUUACUUUCUGAAGCAUUUUGGUGCAUCAAUGUUCAUUUAGAUAUACUAUAUGAUGUUUUCUAUGAUCAUGGAUGGGUGUUUCAGUGUAUUAUUUGACACAGGUUACACAUUUUGCUAUUAAUAUUGCUUCUAAUCCACUAUUAUAUGAUAUAAAUACUUGUCUAAAUAGUUUACAUGUCUUUUGCUUGGAUAGUUAUUCAUCUUAUAUUUGUUUUUGUUACUUUUAAGUUAUAUGAAAAUAAAAAGAAUAUGUGAUUUUCGGAUGUGGACAAGAAAUGGGAACAUCUGAACACAUGCUUAUCUUUUUUUAUGUUUCAAAUAAUUGGAAUAUAUUUUCUUACUUAAAUUGGGCAGCUUCUACACUACAGGCAGAAGGUUACAGGAAGUAAACGUUUUGGGUGGCCUUAUUCUUUUAUUAGCAUUAUAAUUAGAUUGUAUUAUAACUUAGGAAUGAUAAUGUGGUGUUCUAAUAAUUUGUUGGGUUAUUUAUGAAAAUGAUAUAUUGAUUAUUAUAAAAACAUUCGAUAAGUUCCAAAUGGUACCAUUGCAAGGACAUAUGAUUCACCUUUUGCUUCGCAAUCAGAAUAGUAAUGAAGUGGCUCAUAGAAUCUUGCUCAGAUGCACAAUCUUACUCAAUUUUCUAAUUUUAUGGUCAGAUAUUUGUUCCCUUGCUUUAGUAUUAAGAGAUAAUUUGAUUUCUAAGGUUUUGCCGGGAAUAGAAACAAUUGAUGUUAUGAUUUGUUCAAAAAUAAAAAUUUUCAUAAUCGCUUCAUCUUUCGUAAAAUUAUUUGAUUUCUUUUGUGGUGCUUUAUUUCUAACUUUUAUUUGAUCCCAUAUUUAAUUAAUUUAGUGAUUUGGUCCCAGAACUGAUGGCAGGGGAAGUAAUGGAAGAUUUAUUUCUUUUAGUGAUUUGAUCUCAUAUUUAAUUAAUUUAGUGAUUUAAUUAAUUUAUUUCGUUAAUUCAUGUUAGGGUGGAUGAAAGUCCUCUUUAAAAUAUUUUUUCAUUUUAGUUUGACAUGUAACGUAAACUUAUUUAAUUAUAAAGUUUUCCUUCACAAUCAGUUGUUUUCCUUCAUAAAUUUGACACUCUGAUAUCGGAUAUUAAGUUUUAGAAGUCCAAAUGUCAUUAAUAUAACAACCAAGAUCACUAUCUGAAAUGCAGUUACUACAUUUGUUUAAGUAAAGAAAUUAUGGGGUUUAGUGCUGGCGUUUGUUUCUAUCUUCCACUUUGUCAUGAUCUAUUCCAGGACUGAUCACUUCAUAUGUGAAAGUUUUUCAAUUUCUCAGUGUUGCGUUUUGUUAAUCAUUUCUUUUUCUUUUUUAAUUUUCUUAACUUAUGGUUUUGUGGGUUCAAAACUAUAAUCUACAAUACAUGAUGUAUAACCACAUAUUCUUACCUUAUGUUUUAGACUUGGUUUGCUUCAUAGUGCAUCACUUUAUCAAAACAACAGGAACUACGGCAACACCCUAAUUCGCAUAUUCAAGGUUUAAUUUACAUGUAAAGGGAGUAAUUGUUCUGGAAAUUAGAUUAAAUUGUAUUUAUUAUUGUAGUUCUUUUUGAUGAAUUAAUUAUUUAGAAAAUAUAAAAAUAAAUGUUGUUUUAAAUUUUGUGAGCAGAUUGGAGACACAAAUGAGAACCAUGAUGUACUCACCAUCAUGCUAGAUAGACACAAGUCUUUUAAAGUCAAGGUGGGAACGAGAUCUGACAAUCGGGCACAAUUUUCUAACAUUUCUCCUGAUGAGGUAAGUGUUUUUAAAAUAAAUAAAUGUGUGGAUUAUAUAUUGGUUAUUUAAUAAACAUCAAAAAAAUUAUUUGAUUUUCUUUAUGAAAUUUCGAAAAAUCGCCUCCAAAUAUAAGAGUUCUACUAAUUCCACCGAGAAAAAUGCAAUGGGCGAGGUAAAUACAAAUAUACUUUUAUUAUUUUUAUUUUUAGACUUUAUUAAAGUCAUAUUUAAAUACAAAUUGAAUGAUUUGACUGCUAAAAAAAUUCUGGCAGAUUGCUCCACCAUUGAUGAGGCAAGUUGUUAAACAAACUUUUACAUGAAUCAUAGUUAAUUUUUUUAUCUGCAGCACGAAUUAGAUGACAUGAGAUCUAUUUUGAUUAUAUGCAGGUUAUGGAAACAUUGCUGCAAAAGUUUGUUGAACUAGAGCAAACAGCUAAAGACCAAGUUGCAGACAAUGCAAUUCCUGGUAAAGAUCUGCUGGACACGAUGUGUAGCUAUGACACCAUGAUAAAAGAGUGGUUGUGUGUGGGUAGAUUUGCAAGAGCGUUGGAAGCUCUUUGGUGAUGUGGAGGCUCACGGAGUUCAUCCUUAUUCGAUCAUAUAUAAAAAAGUUCCUUACAAUUUGUAUUAUACUAUGUAAUAUGGAAGUUUUUUUUGUCAUUGUUUUUCUUAUAUUAGAACAUAAUCUUUUACCUAAAAAAAAAUGAGUAAAUGACAUAAUGUUUCUCA